GGCCGACUGGCGCAAAGGUAGCGCGUUAGUUUCCGGCAAGUCCUGAUAGCUAGAGGUUCUGGGUUCGAUCCCCAGGUUGGUCG